rnacentral:tRNA from 1 species
GCGCCGGUGGUGUAAGGCGAACAUCGCUGCCCGGAAAGCAGAAGAUACGGGUUCGAGUCCCGCCUGGCGUA